AUUGAACGCUGGCGGCAUGCCUUACACAUGCAAGUCGAACGGUAACGGGCCUUCGGGUGCCGACGAGUGGCGAACGGGUGAGUAAUGUAUCGGAACGUACCUUUCAGUGGGGGAUAACGUAGCGAAAGUUACGCUAAUACCGCAUAUUCUGUGAGCAGGAAAGCAGGGGAUCGCAAGACCUUGCGCUGAUUGAGCGGCCGAUAUCAGAUUAGCUAGUUGGUGAGGUAAAGGCUCACCAAGGCGACGAUCUGUAGCGGGUCUGAGAGGAUGAUCCGCCACACUGGAACUGAGACACGGUCCAGACUCCUACGGGAGGCAGCAGUGGGGAAUUUUGGACAAUGGGGGCAACCCUGAUCCAGCCAUGCCGCGUGAGU
rnacentral:rRNA from 1 species